rnacentral:lncRNA from 1 species
UUUAGAGCCGCCCUGUCAGCUCUGUGUUGGAUUUAAAACAGUGGUGAUCAACUCUUGGAGUCAAGUCAUCUUGCCAGGUUAGAUGCAGAUAUCACUAUCAUGUCUGGCUCAGUGUUCAUUCUCAAUAUGGUGCUAAAUACUCGCUGACAGCAACAUAUGUUACCAAUUGAGAAUGGUGUUUAAAAAAAAAAAAAACCCUCGUAAUUAAGGAGUGCUCUCAGCUUGAAAAAAAAUACAGGUGAAAGCUGCCUCUGCCUGAAGAUUUGUUCUGAUUUAGUUUCCUCGCUAUGUACAAGAUGACCUGUGCACAAUUAGAUGGAAGUCCCUGUGAUUUCGGGAAUGAUGGGGCGGGCCAUUGGCGAUGUUUCAAUGCUGUGACGGCUGGGCAUUUGGCCUCCUUCUCUUUCAUCCUGUUUACCUGAAGAGCCUCACCUCCCAUCUUCAUGGCCUGCUCAGAACAAGCUGAGACCCGGAUGGCUACUAUUUUGAAAACCAUCUGUCUUGUUUGUGCUUUUCACUUUUGUGCCUUGAGACAGGGCCUCAUUCUGUAGCUUCGGUUUCUUUGUAACUCAUUAUGAAGCUGCAUUGCCUUCUGACGGGUAUAAUAACCAACUCUCACAUUCCUGGAUGAUGCUACUCUGGUUCUGUGCUUGUGUUUUCAUGGCUUCUGCAUGGUCAAUCAAUCUUAAGGAUCAGGAGUGAACAGCAUUUGUGAGAUACCUGAGGCUUCAGGCUGUGAAGAUGAGAAAGGAAACCAGCAGCCUUUCCAGAUGUGAGAAGAGCCUUGCCACAAGAUGCUUGGAGGAAUGAAUGACCAGUGUGCAGGACACCCAGAUGCUGUCCUGGCCCCUUUGGUACUCAGCAUGUAAUCUUAGGAUCAACUUCUUGCUCUUUUUCUAAGAAGUACUCUUGAAUCCGAAGAACAAUAUCAGUUAUUAUCAAUAAUCAUCUGCAUUAGAGCAGAACGAAUACAUUUCUAUCAGGGAAGAGAAAACCACCCAUUCCAUCAUUAAGCUCAACAUCAUUUUAUUGUUUUCAUUAUUAUUUACUAUUGGCAGGUGGGCUGUGCAUGACAGUGCAGAUGCUGGGGCCAGAAGUCUACUCCAUGUAGUUCGUUCUCUCCUCCCACCUCUAUGUGGGUUCCAGCAGUCAAAAUCAGGUUGCCAGGUUUGCACAGCAAACACCUUCAACUGCUAAGCCAUCUUGCUGGCCCAAAGGUUGGCAUCACUGAAGCCUACAGUUUUUUAUGGUCCUCCAUAAAAGAAGUGACAGAAGUCCCCAUUUUCUACCAUAAAGCCUCCACUUUCUUAGAGGCCAGUGGCCAAGACAAGUGAAAAUGAUUCUGACUGUGAUUAUUCUAAUUCUGGUUAUUGGUAAAGUCGCCACUCUCUGUGUUUUGGCAACAUUAGCUCAAAUAAGCAUGGGCCUUUGUUUCUAGGGUGAAACAUGAGCUCUGACUUCUAAAUCAACAGACAAGAAAGUGUAUGAAAUAAAACUUUAAAAGCUGGGUGAUGUCUAAGAUUAUAAGACCAUUAAACAAUACUGGUAAGUACAGAGACACAGCAAAGCAGUAUGGAAACUUGGCUCACGGGUGAGCUCAUGAAACCUGCCUUAUGUGGAGACAGCCUUCCAAUUUGGUUCUGAAGUGAACAAAAAAUAAGGAACUGCCAAUCUAGACCACUGUUUCUGGAACUCCAUUAUGUACA